UACGUAGGGGGCAAGCGUUGUCCGGAAUCAUUGGGCGUAAAGCGCGUGUAGGCGGUCCGGUAAGUCCGCUGUGAAAGUCGGGGGCUCAACCCUCGGAUGCCGGUGGAUACUGUCGGGCUUGAGUACGGAAGAGGCGAGUGGAAUUCCUGGUGUAGCGGUGAAAUGCGCAGAUAUCAGGAAGAACACCGGUGGCGAAGGCGGCUCUCUGGGCCUUACCUGACGCUGAGGAGCGAAAGCGUGGGGAGCGAACAGG
rnacentral:rRNA from 1 species